UACAGAGGUCUCAAGCGUUGUUCGGAUUCAUUGGGGCGUAAAGGGCGCGUAGGCGGCGGGGUAAGUCGGGUGUGAAAUCUCAGAGCUCAACUCUGAAACUGCACUCGAUACUGCUCUGCUUGAGGACGUGGAGAGGAGACUGGAAUUCACGGUGUAGCGGUGAGAUGCGCAGAUAUCAGGAGGAACACCAAUGGCGAAGGCAGCUCGCUGGGACGUGACUGACGCUGAGACGCGAAAGCGUGGGGAGCAAACAGG
rnacentral:rRNA from 1 species